GGGUGCGAUCAUACCAGCACUAAUGCACCGGAUCCCAUCAGAAAUCCGAAGUUAAGCGUGCUUGGGCGAGAGUAGUACUAGGAUGGGUGACCCCCUGGGAAGUCCUCGUGUUGCACCCC
rnacentral:rRNA from 1 species